rnacentral:sRNA from 1 species
AAUAUUUUAAAAUUUUAUAAAUAUUGAUUCAAAUACAUCUACCAUAUAACCCAAUUCCAAAAUAAAAUCCGUUCUGUAAUUUCUUUACCCGUCUCGUGAUUUUUUUUAAAGUAGUAAUUUUUAAAAUUUAAGAAUUAUUUAUUAUAUAUAAAAUUUUUGCAAAUUGUAUCAUUCUCUAUA